rnacentral:rRNA from 1 species
UACGUAGGGUGCAAGCGUUGUCCGGAAUUAUUGGGCGUAAAGAGCUCGUAGGCGGUCUGUCACGUCGGCUGUGAAAACCCGAGGCUCAACCUCGGGCCUGCAGUCGAUACGGGCAGACUAGAGUUCGGCAGGGGAGACUGGAAUUCCUGGUGUAGCGGUGAAAUGCGCAGAUAUCGGGAGGAACACCGGUGGCGAAGGCGGUUCUCUGGGCCUUACCUGACGCUGAGGAGCGAAAGCGUGGGGAGCGAACAGG